rnacentral:rRNA from 1 species
AACGAACGCUGGCGGCAGGCUUAACACAUGCAAGUCGAGCGCUCCCUUCGGGGAGAGCGGCAGACGGGUGAGUAACGCGUGGGAAUUUACCCAGCUCUACGGAACAACUCAGGGAAACUUGAGCUAAUACCGUAUACGCCCUUUUGGGGAAAGAUUUAUCGGAGUUGGAUGAGCCCGCGUUUGAUUAGCUAGUUGGUGGGGUAAUGGCCUACCAAGGCGACGAUCAAUAGCUGGUCUGAGAGGAUGAUCAGCCACACUGGGACUGAGACACGGCCCAG